rnacentral:rRNA from 1 species
CCUACGGGUGGCAGCAGUGAGGAAUAUUGGUCAAUGGCCGGAAGGCUGAACCAGCCAAGCCGCGUGAGGGAGGAAGGCGCUACGGGUUGUAAACCUCUUUUGCCGGGGGGCAAAGAGCCGGACUCGUCCCGCCUCGAGAGUACCCGGAGAAAAAGCAUCGGCUAACUCCGUGCCAGCAGCCGCGGUAAUACGGAGGAUGCGAGCGUUAUCCGGAUUUAUUGGGUUUAAAGGGUGCGUAGGCGGGCUUUUAAGCCAGCGGUAAAAUGGCGGGGCUCAACCCCGCCCGGCCGUUGAAACUGGGGGCCUUGAGUGCGGCGGAGGAAGGCGGAAUGCGUGGUGUAGCGGUGAAAUGCAUAGAUAUCGCGCAGAACCCCGAUUGCGAAGGCAGCGUUCCGUGGCGCUACUGACGCUGAGGCACGAAAGUGCGGGGAUCGAACAGGAUUAGAUACCCUGGUAGUC